rnacentral:lncRNA from 1 species
UUUUUGCAAAAUUGGAGGCAAUUCUCUUGGGAAAGAUCUUGAUCUUUUACUUUUUUUUUCCUCUCAGUUUUGUUUUAGGUUAGUAUGAUCUGAACAUGCACAUUUUGGUUUGUCGAUCCAAAUGGAAACUUCGUGCUUCAGGUUAACUGGACAUAAAAUUUAAACUAUUCCUAAACCAUUAUGGUGUCUUGUGGAAGAAUUCAAAUACCUCUGCAAGCAGCAGCCCCUCAUCUGGUUGAAAUGCUGUGUUGAAAGUCACAUGCCAGUAGAAGAUCAUGGGACAUAUAAACCCGCCAAGAUUCUUCCUGGAGAAAAGAAAAAAAUGUACAUUAUGCAUUGUGGCAGGGAUGAAGAACAGACAAGAAUAUGGCCAGCUGAUAUCUUGGAGAUGUUCCCAAGGUUAAUCACAUCCAUGAGAACAGCGAAUUUCCAGCACAGAUGGCCUGGGAGCGCUGAGCAUUUCCAGCUCCUGGCAUCACACUGGGAUCUAGCUGUAUUCAGCAGCUCACCACAGUGAACUUUUUCGGUGAGGACAGAAAAGAUAGAUGUUUGCAGAUGGCACAUUUGAGGAUCAUACUUCCCAUACGUGUUGCAAGAUUAAGUAAAGUAAGCACACCAUAGGCAUGUAUUUUAUGUUACCAUUUUUUGUAAUAUAACACUGAUGGUUUAGCUGUUAGCACCCCUGUGUUGCAGGAUGCAGGACUACCGCAGGAUUUUUGCGCAUGCUCUGGAUGUGA